UACGAAGGGGCGAGCGUUGUUCGGAAUUACUGGGCGUAAAGGGCGCGCAGGCGGCUCUGAAAGUCAGAUGUGAAAGCCCCGGGCUUAACCUGGGAAUUGCAUUUGAUACUCUGGAGCUUGAGUACUGGAGAGGAGACUGGAAUUCAUGGUGUAGCAGUGAAAUGCGUAGAGAUCAUGAGGAAGACCAGUGGCGAAGGCGGGUCUCUGGACAGUUCCUGACACUGAGGCACGAAGGCCAGGGAGCAAACGGG
rnacentral:rRNA from 1 species